rnacentral:rRNA from 1 species
GGGAAACAGCCCAGAUCACCAGUUAAGGUCCCCAAAUCUAUGCUAAGUGGAAAAGGAUGUGGAGUUGCGUAGACAACUAGGACGUUGGCUUAGAAGCAGCCAUCAUUCAAAGAGUGCGUAAUAGCUCACUAGUCGAGUGGCGCUGCGCCGAAAAUUUACCGGGGCUAAGCAUAGUACCGAAACUGUGGAUGUGCGUAAGCACGUGGUAGGAGAGCGUUCUAAUUGCGGCGAAGCCUAAUCGAGAGGAUAGGUGGAGCGAUUAGAAGUGAGAAUGCCGGUAUGAGUAGCGAAAGAUAGGUGAGAAUCCUAUCCGCCGAAAGACUAAGGUUUCCUGGGGCAGGCUCGUCCGCCCAGGGUAAGUCGGGACCUAAGGUAAGGCCGAGAGGCGUAGCCGAUGGACAACAGGUUGAGAUUCCUGUACUAAUAUUAAUCGUUAAGAGCAAUGGAGGGACGCAGUAGGCUAAUGGCGCAUGUAACUGGAAUCAUGUGUAAGCGUCAAGGCUUGAAGUGAGUCAAAUGCUUGCUUCUAAAAGGCUGAGGCGUGAUGCGGAGCGAAAUAAAGUAGCGAAGGUCAUGAUGUCACACUGCCGAGAAAAGCUUCUAGCCAGAGAGAUAUUACCCGUACCGCAAACCGACACAGGUAGUCGAGGAGAGAAUCCUCAGGUGAGCGAGAGAACUCUCGUUAAGGAACUCGGCAAAAUGACCCCGUAACUUCGGGAGAAGGGGUGCUGAUCUCCGGAUCAGCCGCAGUGAAUAGGCCCAAACAACUGUUUAUCAAAAACACAGGUAUCUGCAAAAUCGUAAGAUGACGUAUAGGUGC